CCUACGGGUGGCUGCAGUGGGGAAUAUUGCACAAUGGGCGCAAGCCUGAUGCAGCCAUGCCGCGUGUGUGAAGAAGGCCUUCGGGUUGUAAAGCACUUUCAGCGGGGAGGAAGGCGGUGAGGUUAAUAACCUCAUCGAUUGACAUUACCCGCAGAAGAAGCACCGGCUAACUCCGUGCCAGCAGCCGCGGUAAUACGGAGGGUGCAAGCGUUAAUCGGAAUUACUGGGCGUAAAGCGCACGCAGGCGGUCUGUCAAGUCGGAUGUGAAAUCCCCGGGCUCAACCUGGGAACUGCAUUCGAAACUGGCGGGCUAGAGUCUUGUAGAGGGGGGUAGAAUUCCAGGUGUAGCGGUGAAAUGCGUAGAGAUCUGGAGGAAUACCGGUGGCGAAGGCGGCCCCCUGGACAAAGACUGACGCUCAGGUGCGAAAGCGUGGGGAGCAAACAGGAUUAGAUACCCUAGUAGUC
rnacentral:rRNA from 1 species